CGGGCAGUAGCUCAGUAGUGGAGCUCCCGCUGCGUUUUCGGCAAGACCUGGGUUCGAUUCCUAGCUGCUUCG
rnacentral:tRNA from 1 species